rnacentral:rRNA from 1 species
ACUAAGCGUACACGGUGGAUGCCCUGGCAGUCAGAGGCGAUGAAGGGCGUGCUAAUCUGCGAUAAGCGCCGGUAAGGUGAUAUGAACCGUUAUAACCGGCGAUACCCGAAUGGGGAAACCCAGUGUGAUUCGUCACACUAUCAUUAACUGAAUCCAUAGGUUAAUGAGGCGAACCGGGGGAACUGAAACAUCUAAGUACCCCGAGGAAAAGAAAUCAACCGAGAUUCCCCCAGUAGCGGCGAGCGAACGGGGAGGAGCCCAGAGCCUGAAUCAGCAUGUGUGUUAGUGGAAGCGUCUGGAAAGGCGCGCGAUACAGGGUGACAGCCCCGUACACAAAAGCGCAUGUGCUGUGAGCUCGAUGAGUAGGGCGGGACACGUGGUAUCCUGUCUGAAUAUGGGGGGACCAUCCUCCAAGGCUAAAUACUCCUGACUGACCGAUAGUGAACCAGUACCGUGAGGGAAAGGCGAAAAGAACCCCGGCGAGGGGAGUGAAAAAGAACCUGAAACCGUGUACGUACAAGCAGUGGGAGCCCCACCACCAAAGCAUUCUCUGGUGUUGAAGGCCCUGCAAAGCAGCAUCGCGGUGGCGGAGCGUCGUUUGCGACGCCCAACACACAAAACAAGCGGUGAGUGCUUUGGGGUGGGGUGACUGCGUACCUUUUGUAUAAUGGGUCAGCGACUUAUAUUCUGUAGCAAGGUUAACCGAAUAGGGGAGCCGGAGGGAAACCGAGUCUUAAUUGGGCGUUAAGUUGCAGGGUAUAGACCCGAAACCCGGUGAUCUAGCCAUGGGCAGGUUGAAGGUUGGGUAACACUAACUGGAGGACCGAACCGACUAAUGUUGAAAAAUUAGCGGAUGACCUGUGGCUGGGGGUGAAAGGCCAAUCAAACCGGGAGAUAGCUGGUUCUCCCCGAAAGCUAUUUAGGUAGCGCCUCGUGAAUUCAUCUCCGGGGGUAGAGCACUGUUUCGGCUAGGGGGCCAUCCCGGCUUACCAACCCGAUGCAAACUGCGAAUACCGGAGAAUGUUAUCACGGGAGACACACGGCGGGUGCUAACGUCCGUCGUGAAGAGGGAAACAACCCAGACCGCCAGCUAAGGUCCCAAAGUCAUGGUUAAGUGGGAAACGAUGUGGGAAGGCCCAGACAGCCAGGAUGUUGGCUUAGAAGCAGCCAUCAUUUAAAGAAAGCGUAAUAGCUCACUGGUCGAGUCGGCCUGCGCGGAAGAUGUAACGGGGCUAAACCAUGCACCGAAGCUGCGGCAGCGAACGUAUCACUUAAAGCGAUUCAGCGGGUUACGAUUGACGGAGCGAAGCGACGUCAAAGCGUAUACAAAGUCGAGUCGGUUUAAGGAUACGUUCGUUGGGUAGGGGAGCGUUCUGUAAGCCUGUGAAGGUGUGUCGUGAGGCAUGCUGGAGGUAUCAGAAGUGCGAAUGCUGACAUAAGUAACGAUAAAGCGGGUGAAAAGCCCGCUCGCCGGAAGACCAAGGGUUCCUGUCCAACGUUAAUCGGGGCAGGGUGAGUCGACCCCUAAGGCGAGGCCGAAAGGCGUAGUCGAUGGGAAACGGGUUAAUAUUCCCGUACUUGGUGUUACUGCGAAGGGGGGACGGAGAAGGCUAUGUUGGCCGGGCGACGGUUGUCCCGGUUUAAGCGUGUAGGUGUGUGUUCCAGGUAAAUCCGGUUCACUUUAACACUGAGGCGUGAUGACGAGGCACUACGGUGCUGAAGCAACAAAUGCCCUGCUUCCAGGAAAAGCCUCUAAGCAUCAGGUAACAUCAAAUCGUACCCCAAACCGACACAGGUGGUCAGGUAGAGAAUACCAAGGCGCUUGAGAGAACUCGGGUGAAGGAACUAGGCAAAAUGGUGCCGUAACUUCGGGAGAAGGCACGCUGACACGUAGGUGAAGUGAUUUACUCAUGGAGCUGAAGUCAGUCGAAGAUACCAGCUGGCUGCAACUGUUUAUUAAAAACACAGCACUGUGCAAACACGAAAGUGGACGUAUACGGUGUGACGCCUGCCCGGUGCCGGAAGGUUAAUUGAUGGGGUCAGCGCAAGCGAAGCUCCUGAUCGAAGCCCCGGUAAACGGCGGCCGUAACUAUAACGGUCCUAAGGUAGCGAAAUUCCUUGUCGGGUAAGUUCCGACCUGCACGAAUGGCGUAAUGAUGGCCAGGCUGUCUCCACCCGAGACUCAGUGAAAUUGAACUCGCUGUGAAGAUGCAGUGUACCCGCGGCAAGACGGAAAGACCCCGUGAACCUUUACUAUAGCUUGACACUGAACAUUGAGCCUUGAUGUGUAGGAUAGGUGGGAGGCUUUGAAGCGUGGACGCCAGUCUGCGUGGAGCCGACCUUGAAAUACCACCCUUUAAUGUUUGAUGUUCUAACGUGGACCCGUAAUCCGGGUUGCGGACAGUGUCUGGUGGGUAGUUUGACUGGGGCGGUCUCCUCCUAAAGAGUAACGGAGGAGCACGAAGGUUGGCUAAUCCUGGUCGGACAUCAGGAGGUUAGUGCAAUGGCAUAAGCCAGCUUGACUGCGAGCGUGACGGCGCGAGCAGGUGCGAAAGCAGGUCAUAGUGAUCCGGUGGUUCUGAAUGGAAGGGCCAUCGCUCAACGGAUAAAAGGUACUCCGGGGAUAACAGGCUGAUACCGCCCAAGAGUUCAUAUCGACGGCGGUGUUUGGCACCUCGAUGUCGGCUCAUCACAUCCUGGGGCUGAAGUAGGUCCCAAGGGUAUGGCUGUUCGCCAUUUAAAGUGGUACGCGAGCUGGGUUUAGAACGUCGUGAGACAGUUCGGUCCCUAUCUGCCGUGGGCGCUGGAGAACUGAGGGGGGCUGCUCCUAGUACGAGAGGACCGGAGUGGACGCAUCACUGGUGUUCGGGUUGUCAUGCCAAUGGCACUGCCCGGUAGCUAAAUGCGGAAGAGAUAAGUGCUGAAAGCAUCUAAGCACGAAACUUGCCCCGAGAUGAGUUCUCCCUGAGACUUAGAGUCUCCUGAAGGAACGUUGAAGACGACGACGUUGAUAGGCCGGGUGUGUAAGCGCAGCGAUGCGUUGAGCUAACCGGUACUAAUGAACCGUGAGGCUUAACC